CGCUAUCACUCCUACGGGAGGCAGCAGUGGGGAAUAUUGCACAAUGGGGGAAACCCUGAUGCAGCCAUGCCGCGUGUGUGAAGAAGGCCUUCGGGUUGUAAAGCACUUUCAGUAGGGAGGAAGGUAGUGUAGUUAACACCUGCAUUAUUUGACGUUACCUACAGAAGAAGCACCGGCUAACUCUGUGCCAGCAGCCGCGGUAAUACGGAGGGUGCGAGCGUUAAUCGGAAUUACUGGGCGUAAAAGCGCAUGCAGGCGGCCUGUUAAGUCAGAUGUGAAAGCCCGGGGCUUAACCUCGGAAUUGCAUUUGAAACUGGCAGGCUAGAGUCUUGUAGAGGGGGUAGAAUUUCAGGUGUAGCGGUGAAAAUGCGUAGAGAUCUGAAGGAAUACCAGUGGCGAAGGCGGCCCCCCUGGACAAAGACUGACGCUCAGAUGCGAAAAGCGUGGGGAGCAAACAGGAUUAGAUACCCUGGUAG
rnacentral:rRNA from 1 species